GCCGCGAUGCUGGAAUGGUAGACAGGCUAGUCUCAAAAACUAGUGAUCCUAAAGAUCGUGAGAGUUCGAGUCUCUCUCGCGGCACCG
rnacentral:tRNA from 1 species